AACCCACGAGAAUCGGUUUCCCAAACCGAUCGCCGUACUACGCCGGAAGUCCCGUAAUCGCACCGACACUCCGCCGGGACCCACGGACUGUCCCGAAACUCACCGACUUGUACCACGAGUCACCCGCUGCCACUAAAUACAAAUUUACGUGUGACUUGGCAGCAAAGACCUUAACUCACUCCAAAACGAUUGUCGUCGGAUAAUCGUUCCGAUCCGGGUUCCCGGAAGCAUCGAUUUCGACACCGGAACCCACCGUCGCUCAUCCGUCGUUUCCGAACCCUCGAAAUA
rnacentral:lncRNA from 1 species